rnacentral:rRNA from 1 species
AUGGUUUGCAAUUUGGCAGAGGGAACCCCUCCAAGCAGAUCCCCUCCCUCCAUUCUUCUCCAUGGGCUACGUACUACUCAUCAGCUCCUGACGGCGUCCCCACCUGUGGAUGUCGUGGUUGCCAAAGAUGGUAGCGGGGAUCAUGACACCAUCAGUGCGGCUGUGGCGGCAGCACCGCCAGGGGGUUCAAGGUACAUCAUCCACAUCAAGGAAGGACUGUAUCAGGAGAAGGUUGAAGUGCUCCAACGGAGCAAUGUCAUGCUCAUCGGAGAUGGAGCUGCUCGAACAGAGAUUAUUUAA